GCCAAGGUGGCGGAGUGGCUACGCGGGGGACUGCAGAUCCCCUCUACGCCGGUUCAAAUCCGGCCCUUGGCU
rnacentral:tRNA from 1 species